CCUCGCUCAAACCGGAAGUUGUUUCACUCCGCCAUCUUGCAGACCGUCCCAAAGAUCUUAUUGAGCUUCUCUCAUCUGGAUUAUGGCAGCUGGACAGACAGAGACCUGUAUCAUCUGUAAUCAUGAGCCAGACUUACCUGCUCUGACAGGAAGAAAGCACCUUUUUAGAAGGAUUGGCACUGGUCGUUUGAGAAGCUGAACCAGAUGAAGGACAGUGUCAUAUAAACCCCAGCCCAUCCUCUGACUUCAUCCAGCCAGAGGGAACAAUCACUGACUGACAGCAGCACGCCGGGUCGCUCCGUGACCACCUCUCUUGCCCUGUGAGCUCCCCGCACCCUCUCCGGCAGAUCGCUACGGGUUGUGUCGCUAGUAGGAUGCCACACAGACCUCUGCAGCCAACGCAGCAGACGACUCCAGCAACAACUUGAGAGGAAAGACCCGCAGCUAUCAAGAGACACCUGGCUCGUGAUGGACAGGAAAUUCAUUGGCUUGUGAAACUGAAGCAGUUUGGAGAAAAAAAAACAACAGAAG